GAUGAAGAACGUAGCGAAAUGCGAUAAGUAAUGUGAAUUGCAGAACUCAGUGAAUCAUCGAAUCUUUGAACGCACAUUGCGCCCCCUGGCUUUCCGGGGGGCAUGCCUGUUCGAGCGUCAUUGCUGCCCUCAAGCACGGCUUGUGUGUUGGGCCUCCGUCCUCCUCCCGGGGGACGGGCCCGAAAGGCAGCGGCGGCACCGCGUCCGGUCCUCGAGCGUAUGGGGCUUCGUCACCCGCUCUUGUAGGCCCGGCCGGCGCUUGCCGACACAUCAAUCUUUUUUCCAGGUUGACCUCGGAUCAGGUAGGGAUACCCGCUGAACUUAAGCAUAUCAAUAAGCGGAGGA
rnacentral:misc_RNA from 1 species